rnacentral:lncRNA from 1 species
GGAGAUUCAUGAGAGAGGCGUUGUCUAUGGAAGAAAAAAUUGCUAUUUAGAGGUAAUCUUACCAAUUAAUCACGACAUGUAUGUAUUUAAUAAGAAUAAGGGUGCGUUUAGUCUGACUUUUUUAAGGUCUAAAAGUCAUUUUAAAGCUCAAGUUGUAAAAAAAGAACUUUAGAAUUAAAGUUGAAGUCGUUUGGUAAUAACUGUCAUUUUAGCUAAAAGCUAUUUCAAAAAGUUACUAAAUUAUUUUUUUAGAGAAAGAGUUGCAAAUUAUUCGGUUAAGUGUUAAAAAAUAAAACAUUGAAUAAAACAUUGAUUGUUGUCAUGCUAUUUUUUUAAUUAAUAUUUUUUCGUAUCAUCAUAUAAAUGAAUGAUUAUAUUAAAAAUAAAGAUCAAUUUAUUUGUUCGUAAAAUCUAAUUCAAUUGACAAUUUUGAUGUUAUUAGGUUGAACACCUUCACUUCAGUUUGAAUUUAGAUCAUUGUGGUUGUGUAUGUGAGUUGGAUGUGAUGUUUUGUUUCGUCUAUGGAGAAGACAAACUCGAUUCUUUUUUAAAAUAACAUUAUUUACGUUAAUUGUAAAUAGAAUGAAUAAAAUGUAUAUAUUGUUUUUUUUAAAAGAAAAAUGUAUAUAUUGUUGUAUUUUAGAGUAUAUUUAUUUCUGUAAAAAAAUAAAAGAAAGAGUAUUUAUGUAUUGAAUUAGUUUCCUAUCUCUUUUCCACCGUCUCUCAAGUUUUUAUUGCUUUUUUUUUUUGGGAGAAUUUUGUUGUUUGGUUUAAUUUAUUAUAUAUCUGUUUUUGGUUAUAAAAAUGGCCUGAGGCAAACGAACAAACUUUGAUAGGUGAAAUAAAAUUUUGAAAAAUAAAAAUGAAGUGGCCAGUAGGAAUCGAACGGGAUAACAUUAAAGAAAGCAUCGAAAAGCCAGUUUAAAAGUAAGUUUCAACAACUUCUCCUUUUGUUCAAUUUUGCACACAAUAUAGAAGUUCCUUAAUUAGUUAAGAGCUUUGUGCAAAUUUUGUUUGGCCCUCCUUUUCCUUUUAAGGAGAAGAGAAUAAGAAAAAGAGUCAGGCCAAACGCACCCUAAGAAUAACUAGGCAGCAUAUUGUAUGGGAUUUUUUGUUUUUGUUAGGGGAGCCUUUUUUUAUGAUAGGUGUUUGCAAAACUUGAAAUGGAUAGUAUAUUUGAUUAAUAAGAAGAAGAAAAAAAAACAUAAUAUUUGUUCUACAUUUUAUUUUCAUGAGCUGAACACAGUUAUGUAUUUGUGAUAGGAUUAUGGAUGCUAGAAUAAUGAAUCUUUUAGUUUAUUUUAAAAUAGGAUCUUUUAAGCAUAUUCUAUUAAUUUGUUUGAUAGUAUUGUUAUUGUGUAGUUGAUGUACUUAUCUUACUAUGUGUAUGCAUUAACCUAUAUAUGUAUUGUAUUAUCUCAUUAGAAAUGAACGAAGAAAAAUGAAUGAAAAGUUAUUUUAUCUUAUCUUAGUUUUUAUUCUUCUUUAUCCUUUUAACUUAAAACCUUAGUUUUAUCAUAGUUUGUUAUUGAUAGCUUUUGGUUUCUAAUAAUUUGUGUCAAUAUAAAUUUUACUUAUAUUUGUGUCUACAUAUGAUUUUGCUAUACAUAGAAACCCAUAAUAAAAUGAAUUGAAUUAUUGAUUAUUUUAUCACUAUUCAAAACAAGUAACAACUAACAACAAUUAAAUAUAAUCAAAAUCCUUAAAAAAAAAAUUUUUUUUUUUUUAAGAAUAGUUAAAUUUCAUAUUUGUGUGCGUGGUGCAGUUUGUCAUAUUUGUGAUGUUCGCAAUCUUCAAUGAAACUAAACAUCAGCAAUAACAAACCCAAACCUGUUCUUCAAGACAUGCUCAGUACUCUCUUCUCUCUCUCUCUCUCUCUCUAGCAUUGCAUUGUAUGAUUCUGAUUUUUAUAAGCUUUAUUUACUUCUGUGACAGAUUCUGAGGUCUGUUACCUCCCUCCAUUCUCAAUCCCCAAAUCAUCUUCCUCAUCUCAAAUCUCCUAAAUCUUGUUAUUUCACAAACCCAUCUCUUAAAGAUGCCAUUUUUUUUUGUUUUUUUUCUUUUUUUACUGAAUUUUAGCACUGUUAGCUGUUACCCUGUUAAAUUGCACUAGGUAGUUAGGUCUUGUUUGGAUAAACUUUUUAAUUUAGAGAUUAUCAUAUAAGUGUUUUAUCUAUAAGCUAUUUCUAUUACAAAAGACAAAAUAGAAUCAAACCAUUUUCAUAUAAGCUGUUUUCAUAAGCUAUCCUAAAGAGCUUAUGAAAAUAUGCUGAACACAACUUAUGAAUAUUAUAAGCUGUUUCAAUAAACUCUUUCAAAUAAUCUCACAAGAGAUAAACUCAAAUAAGUCAAUCGAAACAAGCCUAGUUGGUAGUUGAACAUCUAGCAUGGAGUUUCCUGUUGCAAAGUUUAGGGUGGUCUCAACAGACAUGAAUAACUCUUUAGCUUGUGAACAAUUAGUUGUGUGAAUACACACUUUGAUAGUUCUUUUUACUGUGGAGUUUGUACAAGUUUAGAAUGGAAUGAUGGAAUACUUUGUUAUCAUAUCCAAUCCAAGAUUUUUAACUGCUUACAUAGAUACUUUAAAUUUCUGUACAUUUGCUUUGCACCUUGAAAAUUCAUCUCACAGAAGUUAUGCUAGGCUUGAAUGUUGAAUGAGUUCUUUUACUGUCAAAUAGUAGUUGCUCAAGAAUAACGAGUCACAAUUUAUAGCACUUUAGCUCCUCUUUUGGUUAGUCAGAUUGAAAAUUUAGAAUGCACAUUGUGUGUAUAGAAUUAUGUACUUUAUCUACUGCUACUUUUGGGACAUGACAUUGCUACCAUCGAAACUCUUUUAAACUUCAAAGAUGCCAUGGUACUGUUUUUUUUUUUUUUUUUGCUCAUGUAGGAUGUUUCACAGUGAUCUGUCAUGUGUGGAAGUUGUUACAAUGAGUGCCUUUAGGCUAUCCAACUUUAACAUUCUCUUCAACUGCAAUUAUCAAUGUUUUGAUGACUGUGUAAAGUAAAGUUAGCCUUAGGUUUGAAGCUUCAUUGAUUGAACAUGUACCUAAAAAUUUGGUCAAGUUCUUUGUAUGAUUGCUAACUUGUGAGUGGAAUUUGGCUUCUCCAUUUUGCAUAUUACGGCAAUCACUUCAGAUCAGAUAAGUCCCUGCAAAUUAAUAUCUUGCAAGGUCUAAAUAACUAGCUGGUGGAAAUGAAUGAAUUGUAUCCAUUCAUCAUCCCCUUCUUAUAGAUUUGGGAAUGAACAAUUUAUGUUUCAAAGUAAAAGCAUAGAGUUUCUCAUAUUGAUAUAUUUUUAAUAAUUAUUGUGAUAGAAGCUUUAAACACAUUUAACAUAGAAAAUAUGGAAGGCAGAGGAAUGAAAUCGAGAAUGGAUGGAUCCUCUCAUAUGUGUAAUUUACACAUUAGAGAGUAAAGUGUAAUCUUUCAUCCUAACACAUCAUCACACUUAUUCUCUCAUGUGUAAAUUACACAUGAGAGGAUCCAUUCCCAGUAAAAUCAUAUUCGGAAGGAAGAGUGUUAAAAAUGCUUAACAUCAUUGAAUUUGAAAGAUGUUAAGUUGUUCUUUGAUUCGUCUUAAGGAUGCAGGAAGGAGUAGAGCAGUGGGAGUGGAUCAUGAUUUUGGAGAAUGGUUGCAGGGAGGACAAAACAAUGGCGAGUGUGAAGAUUAUAGUUUAUGUUUGAAAGUCUGCAUAACCUACAAGCAGUUAAGUUACAACGUCUCUAUUGGCCAAUAGACUUACAGGAAAAGGUAUCUCCUACUUCUCAAAUUAUAUCUCUAGCCCCACAAAUUAUUUGCAGUACCUAAAUAAAUUUUCGAUUCUGUAGAUUUUUAAAGUUUGAGUUUGUCGUGAUAAAAACAGGUUAUGGCAAACUCAAACAACUAUGUCGAAACACAAUGAAGGUAGGAAAUUUUUAUUUCUUAAAAAUCUACAGAAUUUACAAGAUUUGCGGAAAACUAGGAAUAGAGGUAAAAUUUAAGGGGUAUAGAGUUAAAUAAAGUGUGUCGACACAAAUUGUUCAGCUCCUGCUCCCACAUAUAUUUAACAUAGAUUUACAAAUUUAAUACAGGAUUUGGUACUUUACUUUGGUUAGCCUUUGGAUUUAUAGCACAAGUAUUGUGUCAUAGAACUCUACGCGUUCAAAGGAUAAUAAUAACAUGACAUACUAUUGGCCAGUGACAAAAAUUAUAAAAUUACUUGUAUAAAGAAACAUGGUAGUAUUUAGUUAGUAUCUCUUGAAUUUCCCCAACAAAUAUAUUUCAUUCCCUUUAUUUCUUGAACAUCAUAUAGUCACCCUCUCCCUUCAUAUAUCACUUGAAAAUAACAGAUAUUGGUAUCCUAACAGCAUGUUUAUCAGAAACCCAAGUGAGAGAACCCUGAGCAUAAGUAUUGUUCCCUCUACUUUCCUUAGUUUUUGGUAUAAAAUCGACCGAAUAACUAACCUUCUCAUCGACCUCACUAAAUGUUAUUUCACUAGGAUUAACACUCAUACCAAAAGCCAAAGGGACUUCAAGUUCAACUCUAUAGGUAGAAUUUGCCAACCCAACAUUAGUCAAAGUUCUUGUAUAAUACUGUGAAUCUGAUCCCAACAGAAUAGAAAAAGAAGGAUAACUCAGUUGAGCUUCUGGUAUACUUUUCACAUUAGAGCAGUUCACUACCCACUGAGCAAUAAGUUCAAUCUCUUGAUCAGUAUAACCCAAACCACACAGAUAAGGAACGUAAUCUUCUGGUUGAAUAUCAUAAACAAGACCAGGAUCAUUAGCUUUAACAGGAUUAACAUGUCCUGCACCAGUAGCAAAAACAUCAGCAGGUGAAAGUCUUUGAUCCAAUAUAGGAAUCCCGCCGAGGUUGAGAGUAUUAGCAGUUGUCAUGAUUGCUGAUUUUAUUGCAGCUGGCGACCAAUCAGGAUGAGAACUUUUGAUCAAUGCAGCAAUGCCACUGAGAUGAGGACAAGACAUUGAAGUGCCAGAAGUAAUGGCAAAAGGUGGAGUCUUGUUGUCAAUUGAAACAGGCCAUGCAGCUAGAAUGUUGACACCUGGACCAAUGAUGUCUGGUUUAAGAAUUCCAGGACUUUGUUGGCUUGGUCCUCUUGAAGAAAAUGAAACAACAGAAGGAGCUAAAGAAUCACCAAUUACUGUUCCUUUGAAUAACAAUGUUGCUGUUGGAUUGUAGGUUGAGUUAAUGUAAUCUUUGAUUGUUAAACCAGCUGCAUAACUCACUUCAACUGCUGGCAGAACAUGAGCAGUAGCAAAAGUGCUGAAACCAUCACUUUCUGAGUUUACAAGAAUCACUGCUACACCAUUUGCAUUUAGAACUUCUUGUCCUUUCACAAAGGUUGAAACAUCUUCACCUAUAUCACACAACACAACUUUUCCACUUAGAUCAAUAUUCUUUAGGGAGCCUGGAAGACACAAUGACUGAUUUUGUGUUUGGUUUCCAUAUCCCAAUGAACCUGCAUACACAAGUGGAAAUAAUUGUUGAGGAAAAUCCUUAGGUUGGAAUAAUGUUUCACCCUCAUAUUCCUCUCCAUUUCCUAGUUUUGCUGAUGCUACUAUUUUUCUGUCAAUUGUGCUUGCACCUACAGUGAGGAUCCAAGGAGCUUCAUUGGAGAGAGUGCUGUAUUCAGGGCCAGAGUUUGCGGCAGAGCAGCUAACAAAAAUACCAUUUUGAGUAGCAGCAAAAGCACCAAUUGCAAUUGGGUCUUCAAAGAAUGGAAGAGAACCUAAACCAAGUGAAAGUGACAGAACAUCUACACCAUCUUCAAUAGCUAUAUCCAUUGCAGCUAAGAUAGCACUUUCGGGGCAUUCUAUUUUAUCAUUGCACACUUUGUAUAUUGCUAAGUGAGCAUUAGGUGCCAUACCAGCUGCUACACCUUUAGCAUUACCAAAAACACUUGCAUCUUUUAUGAAUCUUCCUGCAGCCUCCGCAGCAGUGUGCGUUCCAUGGAAAAUGUUUUCAAAUGGAGGCUCUUGAAUCGUACUUUUGACUAAACUUCUUGCACCAAUGAGCUUAUUGUUGCAUAUUUUCAUUCCAUUGAAUUCACAAUGGCCUUUCCAUUUUGCAGGUGGCGGCGGCAUUCCUUCGUCAUUGAAUGAUGGAUGAGAAGGGAAUAUUCCUGAGUCUAUGACUCCAAUUAUGACACCUUUUCCAAGGUUAUCAUCAUUCCACAACCCCUGUCCAUGCUUCAGACCCAAGAAAGUUGGACUGUGAGUUGUGUGUAAUGAAAGUGUCCUUUCAGGUCUUGCUAACAAAAUUCCAUCUUUCUCUUGAAGAGAUUUGGCUUCUUCUGGUGUCAGCUUCACAGCAAAUCCAGAGGCUACAUGGCGGUAUGAGAAAACCAUUCUGUCCUUGUGAGGAAAAUUUU